GACGAACGCUGGCGGCGUGCUUAACACAUGCAAGUCGAACGGAAAGGCCCUGCUUUUGUGGGGUGCUCGAGUGGCGAACGGGUGAGUAACACGUGAGUAACCUGCCCUUGACUUUGGGAUAACUUCAGGAAACUGGGGCUAAUACCGGAUAGGAGCUCCUGCUGCAUGGUGGGGGUUGGUAAGUUUCGGCGGUUGGGGAUGGACUCGCGGCUUAUCAGCUUGUUGGUGAGGUAGUGGAUUACCAAGGCUUUGACGGGUAGCCGGCCUGGGAGGGUGACCGGCCACAUUAGGACUGAGAUAGGGCCCAGACUCCUACGGGAGGCAGCAGUGGAGAGUAUUGCGCAAUGGGCGGACGCCUGAUACAGCGACGCCGCGUGCGGGAUGACGGCUUUUGGGUUGUAAACCGCUUUCGCCUGUGACGAAGCGUGAGUGACGGUAAUGGGUAAAGAAGCAACGGCUAACUACGUG
rnacentral:rRNA from 1 species